UGGGGAAUAUUGCACAAUGGGCGCAAGCCUGAUGCAGCCAUGCCGCGUGAGUGAAGAAGGCCUUAGGGUUGUAAAACUCUUUCACCGGUGAAGAUAAUGACGGUAGCCGGAGAAGAAGCCCCGGCCAACACCGUGCCAGCAGCCGCGGUAAUACGGAGGGGGCUAGCGUUGUUCGGAAUUACUGGGCGUAAAGCGCGCGUAGGCGGGCUGGUCAGUUGGGGGUGAAAUCCCGGGGCUUAACCUCGGAACUGCCCUCAAUACUGCCGAUCUAGAGUCCGGGAGAGGUGAGUGGAAUUCCUAGUGUAGAGGUGAAAUUCGUAGAUAUUAGGAAGAACACCAGUGGCGAAGGCGGCUCACUGGCCCGGUACUGACGCUGAGGUGCGAAAGCGUGGGGAGCAAACAGGAUUAGAUACCCCCGUAGUC
rnacentral:rRNA from 1 species